rnacentral:lncRNA from 1 species
UUAAAAACGCAGGGAACAAGCAGGAGCUUCACACAAACCCUAACUCUCACUAAAUCAAUCAAUUGAAGGCUCUAAUCUGGUCCAAAUCGAAAUCCGAGCACGUAUUAGUGAUCCCCACUGAAAAAGGAGUCACAAGGUAGGAGCUUGGAAAUGAACGGGUCAAAUGGAUACAAGUUCAAGUAUGAAGCUCGCAAGGAUGCAAGUUUGACUCUGACAAGCUAGGUAGGAGCUUGGAAAUGAACGGGUCAAAUGGAUACAAGUUCAAGUAUGAAGCUCGCAAGGAUGCAAGGUAAGUAUAACUUACACUAGUCGUAUAUUUUAGAAUGUUCUUUUGUCGUAUUGACUACGAAUAAGACAAAUGGUAAUUUAGUCACACGUUGACAAUAAUCGUUAGUUUUAAAAGACGCUUUCCCGCGUAAGACAUAAAGAGCCGAAAGUGGUAAUAAACGGUUUAUAAAUAAAAUGAGCAUACGGUGUUAAAAGGAGCGAGUCAUGUAGAUGAGAUGAUAAUAAAUAUUAUCUCGCAAAGAUAAACGGUCAAUUCGGCCAAACGGGUCAAAAGGUGUAGACAUCACCUUUUGACAAUAUCGACUAAUGAUUCUGGUGUCGAGUUAUAUGUUUACAGGAGUAGAUAUCCAAUGGAUACUCGCAUCGCUCUUAAUUAGCAAUUAUAAAGCAAGGUAUUAAACCGGGUUAGUAAGUUGAUCCGAGCCAGGUAUGUAUAAUAGAUUAACUCAUCAUGUAGAACUUGAAGUUCUAUGAAAGUUAGGCAAAAUAAAAAAAGGGCAUUCGGUUACCUUAAUAGGUAAACCGAAGGAUUUAAAUUAUUUAGACAGAAUGUUUUGAAAACAAGAUUUGGUUAAAAAUGAGAAAUUAGAAUCAAACAACAGGUUUGUUUGAUAAAAUCACGAACGG